UUGAUGGGAGAGUGUGAGCGUGGCUCAGGAUGAACGCUGGGGGCGUGCCAAAUACAUGAAAGUCGAGCGAAUGGAUUAAGAGCUUGCUCUUAUGAAGUUAGCGGCGGACGGGUGAGAAACACGUGGGUAACCUGCCCAUAAGACUGGGAGAAAUCCGGGAAAACGGGGCUAAUACCGGAUAACAUUUUGAACCGCAUGGCGCGAAAUUGGAAGGCGGCUGCGGCGGUCACUUAUGGAUGGACCCGCGUCGCAUUAGCUCGUUGGGGGGGGAACGGCUCACCAAGGCGACGCGGCGGAGCACACCUGAGAGGGUGAGCGGGCA
rnacentral:rRNA from 1 species